GACGAACCGUGCGAACGUUGUUCGGAAUCACUGGGCUUAAAGGGCGCGUAGGCGGCUUGCCAAGUCGGGGGUGAAAUACUUCAGCUUAACUGGAGAAGUGCCUUCGAUACUGGCAGGCUUGAAUCCGGGAGAGGGAUGUGGAAUUCCAGGUGUAGCGGUGGAAAUGCGUUGAUAUCCUAAGGAACACCGGUGGCGAAAGCGGCUCACUGGAUCUCUUCUGACGCUGAGGCACGAAAGCUAGGGUAGCGAACGGGG
rnacentral:rRNA from 1 species